rfam:Citrus clementina cultivar Clemenules unplaced genomic scaffold scaffold_2, whole genome shotgun sequence.
AUGCCAUGAAGAGAACAUCUCUUGAGCAACUCCUUAAAUCUUUCCCAAGCCUCAUACAAGCUUUCAUCUUCCAGCUGAUGAAAAAAAGUGAUCUCAUUCUGUAAUUUU